GUGUCAGCAGCCGCGGUAAUACGGAGGGUGCAAGCGUUGUUCGGAUUUAUUGGGCGUAAAGGGCGUGUAGGCGGUCUCAUAAGUCUGAUGUGAAAGCCCCGGGCUCAACCUGGGAAGUGCAUUGGAAACUGUGAGACUUGAGUACGGGAGAGGGCAGUGGAAUUCCCAGUGUAGGAGUGAAAUCCGUAGAUAUUGGGAGGAACACCGGUGGCGAAGGCGGCUGCCUGGACCGAUACUGACGCUGAGACGCGAAAGCGUGGGGAGCAAACAGGAUUAGAAACCCCAGUAGUCC
rnacentral:rRNA from 1 species